AACGCACAUUGCGCCCUCUGGUAUUCCGGGGGGCAUGCCUGUUCGAGCGUCAUUACAACCACUCAAGCUCUCGCUUGGUCUUGGGGUUCGCGGUUCCGCGGCCCCUAAAAUCAGUGGCGGUGCCUGUCGGCUCUACGCGUAGUAAUACUCCUCGCGAUUGAGCCCGGCAGGUCUACUUGCCAGCAACCCUCUAUUUUUACAGGUUGACCUCGGAUCAGGUAGGGAUACCCGCUGAACUUAA
rnacentral:misc_RNA from 1 species